UGAGGAAUAUUGGUCAAUGGGCGAGAGCCUGAACCAGCCAAGUAGCGUGAAGGAUGACUGCCCUAUGGGUUGUAAACUUCUUUUAUAAAGGAAUAAAGUCGGGUAUGGAUACCCGUUUGCAUGUACUUUAUGAAUAAGGAUCGGCUAACUCCGUGCCAGCAGCCGCGGUAAUACGGAGGAUCCGAGCGUUAUCCGGAUUUAUUGGGUUUAAAGGGAGCGUAGAUGGAUGUUUAAGUCAGUUGUGAAAGUUUGCGGCUCAACCGUAAAAUUGCAAUUGAUACUGGCAGUCUUGAGUACAGUUGAGGUAGGCGGAAUUCGUGGUGUAGCGGUGAAAUGCUUAGAUAUCACGAAGAACUCCGAUUGCGAAGGCAGCUUACUAACCUGUAACUGACAUUGAUGCUCGAAAGUGUGGGUAUCAAACAGGAUUAGAUACCCUGGUAGUCCACACGGUAAACGAUGAAUACUCGCUGUAGGCGAUAUACAGUCUGCGGCCAAGCGAAAGCAUUAAGUAUUCCACCUGGGGAGUACGCCGGCAACGGUGAAACUCAAAGGAAUUGACGGGGGCCCGCACAAGCGGAGGAACAUGUGGUUUAAUUCGAUGAUACGCGAGGAACCUUACCCGGGCUUAAAUUGCAGAUGAAUUACGGUGAAAGCCGUAAGCCGCAAGGCAUCUGUGAAGGUGCUGCAUGGUUGUCGUCAGCUCGUGCCGUGAGGUGUCGGCUUAAGUGCCGUAACGAGCGCAACCCUUGUUGUCAGUUACUAACAGGUUUUGCUGAGGACUCUGACAAGACUGCCAUCGUAAGAUGUGAGGAAGGUGGGGAUGACGUCAAAUCAGCACGGCCCCUACGUCCGGGGCUACACACGUGUUACAAUGGGGGGUACAGAGGGCCGCUACCACGCGAGUGGAUGCCAAUCCCCAAAACCUCUCUCAGUUCGGACUGGAGUCUGCAACCCGACUCCACGAAGCUGGAUUCGCUAGUAAUCGCGCAUCAGCCACGGCGCGGUGAAUACGUUCCU
rnacentral:rRNA from 1 species